rnacentral:rRNA from 1 species
GAUUAACGCUGGCGGCGUGCAUAACACAUGCAAGUCGAACGAUGAAACUUUAAUGAACCCUUCGGGGAGAAUUAAAGCGGAUUAGUGGCGAACGGGUGAGUAACGCGUGAGUAACCUGCCUUACACAAGGGGAUAGCCUUUGGAAACGAAGAAUAAUACCCUAUAACACCAUAAAAGCACAUGCAAUUAUGGUCAAAGUGAUAGCGGUGUAAGAUGGACUUGCGUCUGAUUAGCUAGUUGGUGAGAUAAAAGCCCACCAAGGCAACGAUCAGUAGCCGGCUUGAGAGAGUGUACGGCCACAUUGGGACUGAGACACGGCCCAGACUCCUACGGGAGGCAGCAGUGGGGAAUUUUGCACAAUGGGGGAAACCCUGAUGCAGCGACGCCGCGUGAUUUAGAAGGCCUUCGGGUUGUAAAAAUCUUUUGUAUAGGAAGAAAAUGACAGUACUAUACGAAUAAGGUCCGGCUAAUUACGUG